GCGGGCGGAGCUGUCGCCUUUCCCGCAGAGCUGGGGCGCUCCCGGGAGCGGCAGGAAGCUCCCCGGGCUGCUGCGGGGCUCGGCCGCCCUGCCCGGGCUGCUCCCGGCAGCUCCGGCGGGCACGGCUCUGGGGGAGCCGCUAGCGCUGGUUUCAGGUGCGAGCCUUGCACUGCUGCUACAGCCCCAGGUUUCCUUAUGUAAUUUUAGGGUUUUCCUCUGAAGUGCUGACAAGGUUUUCUCGAACCCGGUGACUGUCGUAGGUGUGACAUCUCAGUUCCCCCAGGAUGGAAUUCUUUGGAGACCUCAGGUUCUCUCUUUUCAGGAUAUUGCAUCACCUAAGGGAGCCUUCACUUUUUGUUCUUCCGUGCAGUUCCCGAAGUGCAGCGGAGUCUCGGAUGGAUUCUGUGUGCCCAAAGCGAGCAGUGCUUUAAUCAUCACUUGCUGUGACUAAGAGUUGCAGAAUAAGUUGGAUAUCCAUGGUAGAAUGCAUGGAGAAAUUGCUAUAGUAAACAUUUUUGGCUAAUUUCCCUGUUUUAUUUUUAUACUGACAGUCACUUAGAUUCUGCCUUUCCAAAAUCCUUGCCAUCGACACUAGUGACUUGCUGUGUGCUUCAAGUACCUAAAACUUUUGCUGUUCUUGCAAUGCUUUUAGCUAGUGGUUCCUUAAAGCAACUUUUGUUUUUAUCUCACUAGUGUGAAAUGUCAUUAAAAAAACAGUCUUUACUGUGUGAACCUGGCUUGUCUCCUGUUUGUGAUCAGAUCUUUCUUGUGCCAUGGUUCAUAUCAGGAUCAGUACAAAACUGUUGUUGCUGAUGCUCUCAGAUGAAGAGUGACAUUUAAAAACUGUUCUCAGUCUUUGUAGGAAAUUGAUGCUGCUGAAUCAUGUGGAACAUAAAAUUGUCUGUGACUCUGAUCAGUGGUGUUUUUGGCAUUGCUUGGUGUGUGGCAGAGGGCAUUUUGCUGCUGCUGGGCUGGACUCUUAUGUAGUAUCCCAGGCUGUCUCCUGGGUUGAGAUGGUUAGUUCCUGAAAGGUCUUACUUCAAGUAAACACAAGUGGCUGCCCUUAAUUUUUUAUGUGUCUAUCUUCACAUAGACUUCUUAAUUAUGGGGUUUGAAAAGUGUCAUAGUAAGUAAUUUAGUGGUAUUUUAUUUCAAAUUGUGUUCUUUCACCCCUUCCUGUGUCUUGAGCUCUGAUCUGUUUGGUAUGGUAAUAGUAACUCUCGGUGCGAAUUUAAAAAGCACUUAGUUUAGGUCUCAUAUGACUGGAGAUUCCUGUUGGUUUCGGAGGGACAAGAUCACUCUAGACCGCAGUAUCGUUAUUAAACAAAAAUAAAAA